rnacentral:rRNA from 1 species
UACAGAGGGGGCAAGCGUUGUUCGGAAUUACUGGGCGUAAAGGGCGCGUAGGCGGCUCUGCACGUUCGUUGUGAAAUCGCCCGGCUCAACUGGGCGGGGUCAGCGGAUACGGCAGAGCUUGAGCAAGCUAGGGGGCAAUGGAAUUCCCGGUGGAGCGGUGAAAUGCGUUGAUAUCAUUAGGAACUCCGGUGGCGAAGGCGGCUUGCUGGAUCUCUUCUGACGCUGAGGCGCGAAAGCUAGGGGAGCAAACGGG